rnacentral:piRNA from 1 species
UUGCUCUCUAAGCAUGCAUUGCCUAUUUGCU